CGCCAAAUAUAAGUCAACCUUUUUUCCCCUACCUAUUCGCUGGUAUUAAGAUGACUAUUAAGUUGGACGACUAUUAAUUAGGCUAUUCCAGCUACGCCUGGACGGGUAGGUGAGCUCACGGGCUCAACUGAGAAAAUUUGCUAACACUAGCCUUAGCAAGAGCAGUGCUUCGCAGAAUUAUCACUGGAUCAGAAUAGCGACCUACUGAGAAGAUCCGGCAAGAAACUCAGUGGGCUGUGUCUAUGGAAUAAAGCAACCGUUAAAACCACUUCUACACUUCUUCACUUUAUUAUUACAAUUUUGCAUUUAGAAACGUACCUAAACAUAUUUUUAUGAAAAGUAUAUUAGACGUUACUUAGCUUGAUGCUCUAGUUUUAAAUUUUCCAUAAAGUCCUAUUAAGUUACUUAAGAAUUUUGCGUAAAUUACAUGUACAUUACAAAUAGAUGUUUUUUAAGUCUGAAAUUUAAUAUAACAUACAGAUAAACCUGAUUAAGCACAAAUUCAACCAAAAUCUCUUUAGAAAUGCAUUUCAGAAAUACGACAUAAGUUCAGUUGUCCCAAAAUGUUUGUAAUCGAGAAAUCAGCUGUUAGUUCACAUAUCGUGAAUACCAAGUCAUCAAUUUGUACGUUCGACUGUCGCUUAUAGAAAUAAAGAUAACUAGCUAUCAUAUUUAGCUAGCUAUCGUUAUAGAGGUCGACGUGAAAAAAAAACGAGUUUAUUUUAUAGAGGUUUAAAAUGACGGGACCUGGAAACUACUCUCAUUCGUGCAGUGUGUAACUUAUUCAACGCAGAUUUGACUAUAAUGUAUUGUACCAUACACAUUUAUAUACAUUGCCUCGUACCAUAAUAUUCACGGUCCGGGUCCUUUCGUUCACUUCUCUAUUUGCUUAAAUAUAUGAAUGCUUUUAAGUUGCUUAUAAGAGAAAACUGUAGACUUUAGUUCUUUUUUUUUUAAGGUAAAUUUUUUUUGGGACCCGCUUUCUCUUAUUAAUUUAUUACAUCAACCCAUGAAAUCUCGCGGCAGUAAUAAAGGUGGUGAUAACUGGCGUGGGUUGAUAGCACGCCGUAUCAAUACUAUUUAAGCCGAGUGCUAUUAUCAAGGAGAUUUCCACGAACACCUUAUUUUUCAAAGUUAUCAACAUGGAGUUAUAAAAGUAUUAGUGAAUAAAUAUGUACAAAUUUGCGCACCAAUCAUAUGGUCAAUGUACCUUUAGACGCCUAGUGUUACGUAUUGUACGUUAUUGCUGUCAAUUAUCAGACAAUACGAUCACAAUUGUGACAUUGAGAGCGAAUGAUCGCGUGAGACUUUGCUGGCUUGCGCAUGUGUUGUUGGUAAAAUUUGUUCUAACACAUUUUUAUUCAACUAUCAAAAACCAAAAUGUUGAAGGAACGUUUUAUUUUAUUUAGUACCAAUUUUUAAAUGCGAACUGUCAAUAAUCAAUUAACUUUUAAUGUUGGUGUAUAUUUUAAAUAAAUAAAUUAGGUAUUAAUUACAAUCACAUUAAGCAAAUUAACUUCUAUAAUAAACAAAGAAAAUAAAAACUUAUAAGUUAAUCCUGUUCUCUCCAUAAAAUCAACAAGUUCGUUCGUUCAAAACUGUAUAGUUCUGUAUUACCUUGUUGUAUUUAGCGCUAAAUCAGAAGAAUAUUUUCUUGAAAACUUACCUCAAAACCAAAAACGUCAAUAUUCGACAUUUUAUCCCAUUUCGGUGUGCCGUCUGUGCUGAAUCCAUUGAAACCCAUCCCGCAGUUGUUGCAGAUCGCCUCGGACAAUAACCAAGCAUGAUAGUACUUGCAUCGCACAACCAGAGUCGACAAAUAUGCAUACCACAGCAGGUACAAUGCUGACCACGACUGUGACACCUCCGACGUCGGAUCAGUCAAUUCUAUUUAUGUAAAAUACAAAAAUUUUAUGAACUGCAAAUGAAAUCACUACAAAGUAUAAAACAAA